UCAUGCAGAUAGUACAGAAAAGGUGAUUCAUCGAUAAUCUUCAAAUUCAUAAAAAUUGGGUUUAAUAUAUUCAUUUGGGUCUAAAAUGAAUAUAAACAGUUGAUUUCGUUAUAAUUCUUCUUUUUUCAUAUAGCCAGGGAUAAAGUACUUGAGGUGUAAUUUUGUAUAGAUAGUGUGCAAAUGAUGCCUAUUUCAGGAAAGAAUAUCUUUAAAACCCAAGAAGAUGUACAAAAACUUAAUACAUCAUGAUUAAAGUGAAAAUGGAAGGCUUAAUAAAAAUUUACUUUAACAUUUUUGUGCAAACGAAGUAUUGAAAAGAUACAAGGUGUUUAAAAUCGAGAAUUUGUUAAGAUUCUUCAAAAGAGUUAUCUCCCUUUGCAAGUUUACAUAGGUGGCGCUAGUAAAAAUAAUGGCAGGCUCCAUGGUUAGCUGUACGCUGCAAAGUUAUUUUGAUGCAUCCUGUGAUGUAUAUUGCAAAAAUAUGUGUGAAGUGACAUAAAUUGGUUGGAAGGAUUUUACAAGAACAGAUUAGGCAUAGUUUUUGGGGCGAAAGUAGGCAUGUGUCGUGUUGAUCAGUAUAUCCAUUAUUGACCAUGUUGACGCUUUCCCGAAAUGCUACUCGCCUACUGACACCAUUGUGAUCGAUCUCGGAAGUUAAACUUCUACGGUAAUCCACCAGAGUGCAAGAGUAAACUCUCAGAGAGGGGUGGCAGUCCGAUUUUUCAGCAUACUCGACUUGGAGAGGGAAAAUGUCACAUUUGGACAGUUACAUUUCACCAGAAUGUACACGAUGGGCUGCAUCAUGGUUUUGAAGGAAAAGGUUACACUAUUUAUUACAGACGGCAAGGAAACACCAUUGAACACCACCAACUAAUAAGACUCCAAAGGAAUAAUGGAAAAUAAAAUAUUUAAAGCUGUCAAAAAGCAUAGAUUAGAGUUCAGUGGAUUCCGUGACGGUACUUUGGAUAAUGUUAAUCAAGCAGUGAUUCUCUUCCCAAGGAUCUUAAGUGCUUUUAGAAGAGGCUAAUAAACAAAGGACAGUCACUUACUACAGAAGAGAAGCAGGGGAGAUUAGUGAUAUUCUGUUUGGCAUGUACUGCACCUUACAAAGAUGUAAAACUUUUAAAAUUGUGUUUACAAAUACAAUGUUUAUAUAAUAAAUGUAUCUAGUAAUCAAUAUUAAUAUGAUUAAUAUUUUCAAAUGUUUUUUACAACAUUUUGCUGUUCAUUAAUGAAAAAAUAAUUUGUGUUGUAUUUGAAUUUGGAAAUGUAAAGUAAUUUAUUUUGAAAUGUAAACUGAUAUUCUUACAUGUAAACAUGUAUUGGCGUGUGUACAUGGUGUAUAUAUUUGACUCUGACAAAAGAUGAUGCUACUUCUUUUUUUGGUGAAAUUAUUAAUCACAAUGAUUUUUGUGCAAAUGAUUUUU